rfam:Picea glauca, whole genome shotgun sequence.
GGGUGCGAUCAUACCAACGUUAAUGCACCGGAUCCCAUCAGAACUCCGUAGUUUAGCGCGCUUGGGGUAGAGUAGUGCUGGGAUGGGUGACCUCCCGGGAAGUCCUAAUGUUGCACCCU